CCCUUCUUCACCAAGCUUACGAGCUAAAGAGAUAAGCUAUUCCCACCUUCAUCUGAACAAAUAAGCCAACAGAUGACUAGAUGAUGCGGCUAAAGAUCAAAUUAACCAAAUCAUGAAAAUGUAAACAAAGGACAUGUUCCAACAAAAACCAAUGUUCAAAUAAUCUGCAAAGUAGAUCAUCCGAAAAAUGCAAAAAAGAUGACAUGUUACAACCAAAACCAGUGUUCAAAAGAUGAUUCUAGAAAACGCAAACAAAGGACAUGUUCCAACCAAAACCUGUGUUCAAAUGACAAUUCUAGAAAAUGCAAACAUAGGACAUUUUCCAACCAAAACCAGUGUUCAAAUGAAAAUUCCAUAUUUGCUCUCUACCUUCUACGUCUCAGAAGAGUUGGGUCCUCUCAUCAAUCCAAAACCAACAACUGCACAAAUCCAUGCAUGAGACAAUAUUUACUAACAUGUAGACGUUAAAAAUCAGACAUUGUAAUAAAUCUACAAACAAGAUAUUACAAUAAUUAACGAGGACAGGAUAUGAUUCCCAAAAGCAGUAAGAAAAAUUGAAACAACCAUGAAGUUAUAAUCAAAGCCCUAUAUAGAUAGAGAGCAUGACUACAGUAAACUUGAAUUACUUUAUCAUACUAGGAAAUUACUUAUAAGUACUUGGAGGGAACUGAACAGAAACACAAGGUAAACCAAAAGCUUCAUCAUUUUCCCUGAUAAAUAUAUGCUGCAGAUAUGGUUUGCGAAGAUUUGAAAAUUGUGGUUUGAUAUGAUUUUACUUUAUAGAUCAUCUUUUUUCACUCAUAGAAAAAUCUCUCAACCGUUUGUUUGAAAAACACCCAGACAUUGCAUCAAUGUUAUGUAUAAAGAUCCAACUUCUGAAGACAACGUCAAAGCAUAUCCUACUCAGCUGGACUGAGACUUUGCGCAUGUCGCCUAAAAUCUCCAAGGAUGAUCUGUUUGAUGGAGAAAUUACUCUGGCAUACAUGACAAAUGUAGGGUUUAGGUUGGAUUGGUUGGAGAAGAAAUUUGGCGAAGUAAAAGAAAAUAUGGCGAAAGAGAAAGCUGGUGAGAUCUGGAUACUGAAGAAAAGUUAAAGGAUUUGAAGCAGAAGAGCUCAAACCUUGAAGCUCAGAUGGAGAAGGAGAGGGCAGGGGUUUUGGCUGCCAGAGCUCCUCUAUUGUUGUCUGAUGAGGAUAUUGUGUGAUGAAUUAAGUUCUUAGGACUUGGAUUUAGGUUCUGCUAGUGCUGUUUCGUACUUUGAAGACUCUCCAUUCAAAGGGUUAACUGAGUUUCUUGAUGGAAAAGUAAUGGCUUGGUUUUCGAAGAGAGUAGUCUAUGAAUAGUUGCGGCCAAACAUGUAUGGAUGCUUCUUGGUUAUUAUGUUUGGCGUUUUGCAAUUUUGCAUGAUUGAUUUUUUUGAUCAAUUCCUCCAAAUUUUUGUGUAUUAGAAUAUUAAAAUGAAAGGAUAUAUGUUGAAGAUAGGUUAUGAAGGAGCGAAGAAGAAGAAUUAUGAAGGAGCGAAGAAGAAGAAAGGAAAAUUGUGAUUUAACCACACAAAUUUAUUUAAUAAAAUAGCCACACUUUCCGAUAUCAUUUGCUGGACAUUUCUUUUAGUUUUUCUUUUAGUGUGUUUGUACGUGAUUAACCAUUUUAAGGUUUAGUGAGAACAGAACUAUCUUUCAGUAUAAACUUCCCAGAAAAUCCUAUCAGUUAUUAGAACUAACUAUUGUCAAACAUGAUAUUGUACUGUGUUUUAUCCAACCUCCAAAAUACAAACACACUCGAUUAAAGAAAAAAAUUAUACUAGUUACGAACAAUCUAGAUCACUAUAUCGGCUAAUAUUCUGGUGCAGCCAUUUUGACUCUGUUAGACAAUUAUUCUCCAAAAAUAUUCCAAAAUUCAAACCUUAUAGAAUUCUAUAAACUAAUGAGAGAAAAAAACUAUUAUAGUAUGAUUUUCUUCAAAUUCCAUUUCUUUGGGUGUUCUCUUGCACUCUUAAACUUUCAUUUAAUCAAAACUCCCAAUGAUUAGGGAAAAAAAAAAUCUAAUAUAAUGUUGGGAAAAACUCAUGUAAUAAUUUCCUCAAACCUUUACCCUUAAAACAUCACUAAUUGGAUAAAACCCCAAUAUCAAUUUAUUCAGACCUUAGACUAAGACAUUACACCAAACAUUUGAAACAACUCAUUUUUUCCCCUAACAAAAAAAAAAUUGUUUGUACUACUUGAAGCUGCAGAAGAAAAAGAAGAAGAAUUCAAGCAAUUUCCUAACAUUUUCUACCAUUGAUAUUGGACGAGAUCGAGAAUUAUCUGGCAUCGGAUUUGAAUACUUCAGAUGUUGGUGAAAGAAAAUCCAUAACAGCGAAGUAUGAUUUCUCUUUGUACGAAAUUAGGAACACAUGUGUAUGGAUCUCUAUCAGUACAAUAGUACAAUUAACAUAUCAAUACGGAAGGAAACAUCAAUAUAGUCCAUGUUGAAACGACGUAAAAGGUGUAAAAUUAAAAACGCAAACAUAAAAUUACUUAUUAGAAAACCAAAAAAAAAUCCAAACAGAAAGUAUCAAAAGAAGAACAACCAAUCAUAUAGUCAUGUAAAUUUCCAUCUGACUCGAUCAAUCUUGCAAAGAAAUAAAAGUUUCUUAGAAACAAAUGAAUAUUUUAUAAAAAGAGAUGAAGAUCGGACCGUAAUGCUUACAUUCCCCAGAAGAGAAGAGAUGAGAUGGGGUUUAGAUUCAGAUUCAGACAAGAAUACUUCUCGAUGUAACCCUUUUUUUUCUUCUUCUCAAAAACACAUCAAGUUCCCACUAUCAUGGAUCGAUAAUCCUGUGAGGGGGUUGCUUGUUUUUUUUUCUUACUUUCUUGAACAUGAUCAACAACAAGACCUGGAUCUUCAUUGUGUUUGUUCUCAAACUCACUCCAAACUUCUUCUUGUUCUUUUGAUGAGACUUGUUUGGUGGAAGUUUGGUGGUGUUGAUGAUGAUGAGAGAGUGAGAGUGAGAGGAAAUUAUAG
rnacentral:lncRNA from 1 species